rnacentral:rRNA from 1 species
GACGAACGCUGGCGGCGUGCUUAACACAUGCAAGUCGAACGGAAAGGCCCUGCUUGCAGGGUACUCGAGUGGCGAACGGGUGAGUAACACGUGGGUGAUCUGCCCUGCACUUCGGGAUAAGCCUGGGAAACUGGGUCUAAUACCGGAUAGGAGCCAUUUUUAGUGUGAUGGUUGGAAAGUUUUUUCGGUGUAGGAUGAGCUCGCGGCCUAUCAGCUUGUUGGUGGGGUAAUGGCCUACCAAGGCGGCGACGGGUAGCCGGCCUGAGAGGGUGGACGGCCACAUUGGGACUGAGAUACGGCCCAGACUCCUACGGGAGGCAGCAGUGGGGAAUAUUGCACAAUGGGCGCAAGCCUGAUGCAGCGACGCCGCGUGGGGGAUGACGGCCUUCGGGUUGUAACCUCCUUUCGCUAGGGACGAAGCUUUUUGUGACGGUACCUAGAUAAGAAGCACCGGCUAACUACGUG